rnacentral:rRNA from 1 species
CCCUUAGAUGUUCUGGGCCGCACACGCGCUACACUGAAGGAGGCAGCGUGUACUCCUGGAUCGAAAGAUUUGGGUAACCCGCGAAUCUCCUUCGUGCUAGGGAUUGAGGUUUGCAAUUAUCCUUCAUGAACGAGGAAUUCCCAGUAAGUGCAAGUCAUAAGCUUGCGCUGACUACGUCCCUGCCCUUUGUACACACCGCCCGUCGCUACUACCGAUUGAAUGAUUUAGUGAGGAUUUCGGACUGGGACUGAUGCGGCUUUCGGGCUGCGUCGGUAUUCUGGAAAGAUGUCCAAACUGUAUCAUUUAGAGGAAGUAAAAGUCGUANCA